AACGAACGCUGGCGGCAUGCCUAACACAUGCAAGUCGAACGAGACCUUCGGGUCUAGUGGCGCACGGGUGCGUAACGCGUGGGAAUCUGCCCUUGGGUUCGGAAUAACAGUUGGAAACGACUGCUAAUACCGGAUGAUGACGUAAGUCCAAAGAUUUAUCGCCCAAGGAUGAGCCCACGUAGGAUUAGCUAGUUGGUGAGGUAAAGGCUCACCAAGGCGACGAUCCUUAGCUGGUCUGAGAGGAUGAUCAGCCACACUGGGACUGAGACACGGCCCAGACUCCUACGGGAGGCAGCAGUGGGGAAUAUUGGACAAUGGGCGAAAGCCUGAUCCAGCAAUGCCGCGUGAGUGAUGAAGGCCUUAGGGUUGUAAAGCUCUUUUACCCGGGAUGAUAAUGACAGUACCGGGAGAAUAAGCUCCGGCUAACUCCGUG
rnacentral:rRNA from 1 species